rnacentral:rRNA from 1 species
UGCAAGUCGAGCGGACAGAAGGGAGCUUGCUCCCGGGAUGUAGCGGCGGACGGGUGAGUAACACGUGGGUAACCUGCCUGUAAGACUGGGAUAACUCCGGGAAACCGGAGCUAAUACCGGAUAGUUCCUUGAACCGCAUGGUUCAAGGAUGAAAGACGGUUUCGGCUGUCACUUACAGAUGGACCCGCGGCGCAUAGCUAGUUGGUGAGGUAACGGCUCACCAAGGCGACGAUGCGUAGCCGACCUGAGAGGGUGAUCGGCCACACUGGGACUGAGACACGGCCCAGACUCCUACGGGAGGCAGCAGUAGGGAAUCUUCCGCAAUGGACGAAAGUCUGACGGAGCAACGCCGCGUGAGUGAUGAAGGUUUCGGAUCGUAAAGCUCUGUUGUUAGGGAAGAACAAGUGCAAGAGUAACUGCUUGCACCUUGACGGUACCUAACCAGAAAGCCACGGCUAACUACGUGCCAGCAGCCGCGGUAAUACGUAGGUGGCAGCGUUGUCCGGAAUUAUUGGGCGUAAAGGGCUCGCAGGCGGUUUCUUAAGUCUGAUGUGAAAGCCCCCGGCUCAACCGGGGAGGGUCAUUGGAAACUGGGAAACUUGAGUGCAGAAGAGGAGAGUGGAAUUCCACGUGUAGCGGUGAAAUGCGUAGAGAUGUGGAGGAACACCAGUGGCGAAGGCGACUCUCUGGUCUGUAACUGACGCUGAGGAGCGAAAGCGUGGGGAGCGAACAGGAUUAGAUACCCUGGUAGUCCACGCCGUAAACGAUGAGUGCUAAGUGUUAGGGGGUUUCCGCCCCUUAGUGCUGCAGCUAACGCAUUAAGCACUCCGCCUGGGGAGUACGGUCGCAAGACUGAAACUCAAAGGAAUUGACGGGGGCCCGCACAAGCGGUGGAGCAUGUGGUUUAAUUCGAAGCAACGCGAAGAACCUUACCAGGUCUUGACAUCCUCUGACAACCCUAGAGAUAGGGCUUUCCCUUCGGGGACAGAGU